rnacentral:rRNA from 1 species
CUUGAUGGUAGUGUAUUGGACUACCAUGGCGUUUACGGGUAACGGAGGAUUAGGGUUCGAUUCCGGAGAGGGAGCCUGAGAAACGGCUACCACAUCUAAGGAAGGCAGCAGGCGCGUAAAUUACCCAAUCCUGACUCAGGGAGGUAGUGACAAGAAAUAACGGACCGGACCGUUCACACGGCCGGAACUGCAAUGAGCCGAAUUUACACCCCUUAGCGAGGACCCAUUGGAGGGCAAGUCUGGUGCCAGCAGCCGCGGUAAUUCCAGCUCCAAUAGCGCAUAUUAAAGUUGUUGCAGUUAAAAAGCUCGUAGUUGAACUUCUGUACAUCUCGGUUCUGGCUUCUGUCAAAUCGUUGAUUGUGCAUCCGCUUGCAAAUCUAGUUCGGCCUUCACUGGUCGGCUAGGGGAGUAAGCCUUUUACUUUGAAAAAAUUAGAGUGUUUCAAGCAGGCAUUGGCUCGAAUACAUUAGCAUGGAAUAAUGGAAUAGGACUUUUGUCCAUUUGGUUGGUUAUUGGACAUGAGUAAUGAUUAAAAGGGACAGUUGGGGGCAUUAGUAUUUAAUUGUCAGAGGUGAAAUUCUUGGAUUUAUUAAAGACUAACUUAUGCGAAAGCAUUUGCCGAAGGAUGUUUUCAUUAAUCAAGAACGAAAGUUAGGGGAUCAAAGACGAUCAGAUACCGUC